UUGCUUUGGCAGCACAUGUACUAAAGUGUGGAAUAUAGAGAAGAUUAGCUUGGCCCCUGCACAAAGAGUGACAUACAAAAUUUGUGAAGCACCUAGGGCUACAUUAAAAAAAAAAAUUUUU
rfam:Tupaia chinensis contig30395, whole genome shotgun sequence.